rnacentral:rRNA from 1 species
CCCUUAGAUGUCCGGGGCUGCACGCGCGCUACACUGAAGGAAUCAGCGUGCUAAAACCAUUGUCGAAAGGCAUUGGUAAACCCAUUAAAAUCCUACGUGAUUGGGAUCGGGAAUUGCAAUUAUUUCCCUUGAACGAGGAAUUCCCAGUAAGUGUGGGUCAUAAGCUCGCGUUGAUUACGUCCCUGCCCUUUGUACACACCGCCCGUCGCUGCCCGUGACUGAGCCGUUUCGAGAAAAGCGGGGACUGCUGCUGUCGGGGCUUUCGGGCCUUGGCUUCGGUGGAAACCGCUUUAAUCGCAGUGGCUUGAACCGGGCAAAAGUCGUAACA